rnacentral:lncRNA from 1 species
AAAAUAGAUAAUAGCCAUUCAUUAUAAAUAAAUUUCUAUCAAAAAUAAGGCUCAAAGAACUUUUUAUAUUAUUUAUAUUAACAAUAACAACGUACACACAUGUCGGCGUAUGAAUACACAACGUCAGAGUGGGCGUGUCGCCAUCAAAAUUUACAACAUUGAAAAUAAAACUAAUAAUUUUAACCAAUCAGAAGACAGUAAAAACAC